rnacentral:rRNA from 1 species
UACGUAGGGUGCAAGCGUUGUCCGGAAUUAUUGGGCGUAAAGAGCUCGUAGGCGGUCUGUCGCGUCGGCUGUGAAAACCCGGAGCUCAACUCCGGGCCUGCAGUCGAUACGGGCAAACUGGAGUGUUGCAGGGGAGACUGGAAUUCCUGGUGUAGCGUUGAAAUGCGCAGAUAUCAGGAGGAACACCGGUGGCGAAGGCGGGUCUCUGGGCAACAACUGACGCUGAGGAGCGAAAGCGUGGGGAGCGAACAGG